rnacentral:sRNA from 1 species
GAGGAGAGCAGGUGUGGGGUGCCAGCGGAAGAUGGGUGCCGACAGGGCCUUACUCUGUCACUCAGGCUGGAUGGAGUGCAGUGGCACGAUCAUCACUGCAACCUUGACCUUCUGGGCUCUGAUGACCCUCCCACCUCAGCCACCUGAGCAGCUGGGACCACAGCCCAAAGUCCAUGUGGUCAGACACAAAAGAGCCAUCGAUUGCUGAACCUGUUCACUCCUACCUUCAAAGGCACAAAAAGAACACAGGAAGCCAAUAUAAAGCAGGCUGAUAGGUGGAAGGGACUUGCCUUGUCUCAGAUGAGACUUCGGAUUGGACUUUCGGGUUAAUGCUGUAAUGAGGCUAGAAAAUGCCCUAGGGAAACUCGAAGUUGAAGGCAACUUCUACUCAGAAAAUGUCAGUCGGAUCCUGGACAACUUGCUUGAAGGCUAUGAUAAUCGGCUGCGGCCGGGAUUUGGAGGUGCUGUCACUGAAGUCAAAACAGACAUUUAUGUGACCAGUUUUGGGCCCGUGUCAGAUGUGGAGAUGGAGUAUACGAUGGAUGUUUUUUUCCGCCAGACUUGGACUGAUGAGA